rnacentral:rRNA from 1 species
UACGUAGGGUGCAAGCGUUGUCCGGAAUUAUUGGGCGUAAAGAGCUCGUAGGCGGUUUGUUGCGUCGGCUGUGAAAUCCCGAGGCUCAACCUCGGGUCUGCAGUCGAUACGAGCAAACUAGAGUGUUGCAGGGGAGACUGGAAUUCCUGGUGUAGCGGUGAAAUGCGCAGAUAUCAGGGGGAACACCGAUGGCGAAGGCAGAUCUCUGGGCCGUAACUGACGCUGAGGAGCGAAAGCGUGGGGAGCGAACAGG